UACGUAGGGGGCAAGCGUUGUCCGGAAUCAUUGGGCGUAAAGCGCGCGUAGGCGGCCCUGUAAGUCCGUGGUGAAAGUCAAAGGCUCAACCUUUGAAAGCCGAUGGAUACUGCAGGGCUAGAGUCCGGAAGAGGCGAGUGGAAUUGCUGGUGUAGCGGUGGAAUGCGCAGAUAUCAGGAGGAACACCAAUAGCGAAGGCAGCUCGCUGGGACGGUACUGACGCUAAGGCGCGAAAGCGUGGGGAGCGAACAGG
rnacentral:rRNA from 1 species